CGGCAAGUCCGAAAUCUGCAAGGCAGACCGGCAGACUGGAAGACAUGCAGGGCAGACUGGCAGGCUGGAGGAUUGGCACCCAGGAAGCACUGCUACUCAGUUUAGGUCCAAAAGCUGUCAGGCUAAGAAACCAGGACCCAGUGUUGCACCUCAAGUCUGAAGGGUGUGUGGCAUGAUUCUCUCUUUCUUGACAGAAGUCAAUCUUUUGUUCUCUUCAGGUCUUCCACUGCUUGGUUGAGGCCCAUUCACAUUUGUGGAGGGCAAUCUGCUUUAUUCAAAAGUCACCAAUUUAAAUGUUACUUUCAUCCAAAAACUCCCUCACGGAAACCUCCAGAACAAUGUUUGAUCACAUAUCUGGCAUCAUGGCCCAGCCAUGUUGACACAUAAAAUUAACCAUCACAGUAUCUAUAUAACCCACUUUAUUUUUUAAAAAAUUUAGUCUUUUGUCCAAAAAUCAUAAACACGUUUUCAGAGAAGACCCCCUAAAUGUAGAAUAUUAUAUUGAUUGCCUACAAUUAUGAAAUAAAUGAACUUUUCAUAGCUCCUGUUAAUACCAAUGCUUCAGGCACCAAAAUCUCUGACAUUUUUCUCAGUGGGUCAAUAAAUAAGCUCAAAAUUUGCCAAAGAAUUAUGUCUGUGCUCAACAAUUACAGAAAGAGAGUAUGAGAGACCACUAUUCCCAGAAGAGAGUCCUUUACCUCUGGAUAACUUUACAUUCAAAGCACCUAGAUCAUUUACUAAUAUUUGGCUCACCUGUAAGGCCAGUUUGCUGAAAAAACUGCUGACUGAGACUCAGCCCAACUUCAGGGCCAAUAGUGUUUGACACAUACUAGGCAUUCAAUAAAUAUGUAUGGAAUAUAUGAACAGAAGUAGUCUAUGAAUAACCUGUAUUUGUCCUUGCUUCUUGAGAUAGUAUAAACCACAACUAUUGAAACUUUGAUAUUACUUAUUAUAAAAAUUCCUUGCAUAAACAAUUUCAUGGAAGUCUUUCAGUCUGGAAUUUGUGUCUUUGAUAUCACUAAGUGGUGCUCAAGCUGAUUUUUGAAAGUGUUCGAAAUUCAUUUUUAUUUAUGCCUGCAUGCAGCUCUCAACACAAACGUAUGCUCCUUUUAUUAUGUAUUCCUUUCUUCUUUCUAGUUCAUCCCUUUCUUUUCUCUUCUUAUUUUUCUCUUUUAACAUUUUUUGUUUCUCUUUUCUUCUUUGCAGUGUUUUAGGCUUAAAAGAGCCCUCUCCUGCCCCGUGUGAUAUUAUUUAGUCCUUUUACAGGCACUUGAAACUAUAGUCAUUCAGCUUUUCAAUGGUCUUAAAUUAAAUCAUUUGUUAUUUGCAUUAAUGUGCUUCAGUGUUUAUCUCAUAGAGUUCUUUCCACAAAGUGUAAAGUUAAUGACAGAUAUUAUAAGGAUGAAUCAUGAUUGAUGAAAACGAUGGUGAUGAUGAUGCUGUUGUUGGCAAGUGACUUGCAGAGUGGACUACUGACAUUUUUUACCGCCUGGCUUCUCUCUCAUUUUGAUAGAAUAACUGCCCUUUGACAAACAUCCCUCUUAAACUUUGCUUUUUAAUUUUUUUCUAAGUGAGACAAACAAACAAAAUUGCACCUGGCAAAUGCUGAUUAAGCCAAGGGCAAAUGCCUGACUCUGGAGAAAACUCAUAUAGGUUGGCCAGUGAUUUGUGGAAUUGUUAGAAAAGAGAAGCUGGUUUAUUAUUAUUCCAAC
rnacentral:lncRNA from 10 species